GCUCAGGACGAACGCUGGCGGCGUGCCUAAUACAUGCAAGUCGAGCGGACAGAAGGGAGCUUGCUCCCGGAUGUUAGCGGCGGACGGGUGAGUAACACGUGGGUAACCUGCCUGUAAGACUGGGAUAACUCCGGGAAACCGGAGCUAAUACCGGAUAGUUCCUUGAACCGCAUGGUUCAAGGAUGAAAGACGGUUUCGGCUGUCACUUACAGAUGGACCCGCGGCGCAUUAGCUAGUUGGUGAGGUAACGGCUCACCAAGGCGACGAUGCGUAGCCGACCUGAGAGGGUGAUCGGCCACACUGGGACUGAGACACGGCCCAGACUCCUACGGGAGGCAGCAGUAGGGAAUCUUCCGCAAUGGACGAAAGUCUGACGGAGCAACGCCGCGUGAGUGAUGAAGGUUUUCGGAUCGUAAAGCUCUGUUGUUAGGGAAGAACAAGUGCAAGAGUAACUGCUUGCACCUUGACGGUACCUAACCAGAAAGCCACGGCUAACUACGUGCCAGCAGCCGCGGUAAUACGUAGGUGGCAAGCGUUGUCCGGAAUUAUUGGGCGUAAAGGGCUCGCAGGCGGUUUCUUAAGUCUGAUGUGAAAGCCCCCGGCUCAACCGGGGAGGGUCAUUGGAAACUGGGAAACUUGAGUGCAGAAGAGGAGAGUGGAAUUCCACGUGUAGCGGUGAAAUGCGUAGAGAUGUGGAGGAACACCAGUGGCGAAGGCGACUCUCUGGUCUGUAACUGACGCUGAGGAGCGAAAGCGUGGGGAGCGAACAGGAUUAGAUACCCUGGUAGUCCACGCCGUAAACGAUGAGUGCUAAGUGUUAGGGGGUUUCCGCCCCUUAGUGCUGCAGCUAACGCAUUAAGCACUCCGCCUGGGGAGUACGGUCGCAAGACUGAAACUCAAAGGAAUUGACGGGGGCCCGCACAAGCGGUGGAGCAUGUGGUUUAUUCGAAGCAACGCGAAGAACCUUACCAGGUCUUGACAUCCUCUGACAACCCUAGAGAUAGGGCUUUCCCUUCGGGGACAGAGUGACAGGUGGUGCAUGGUUGUCGUCAGCUCGUGUCGUGAGAUGUUGGGUUAAGUCCCGCAACGAGCGCAACCCUUGAUCUUAGUUGCCAGCAUUCAGUUGGGCACUCUAAGGUGACUGCCGGUGACAAACCGGAGGAAGGUGGGGAUGACGUCAAAUCAUCAUGCCCCUUAUGACCUGGGCUACACACGUGCUACAAUGGACAGAACAAAGGGCUGCGAGACCGCAAGGUUUAGCCAAUCCCACAAAUCUGUUCUCAGUUCGGAUCGCAGUCUGCAACUCGACUGCGUGAAGCUGGAAUCGCUAGUAAUCGCGGAUCAGCAUGCCGCGGUGAAUACGUUCCCGGGCCUUGUACACACCGCCCGUCACACCACGAGAGUUUGCAACACCCGAAGUCGGUGAGGUAACCUUUAUGGAGCCAGCCGCCGAAGGUGGGGCAGAUGAUU
rnacentral:rRNA from 1 species